rnacentral:sRNA from 1 species
GUUUUUGGUUUUUAAU